rnacentral:rRNA from 1 species
UACGUAGGGCGCGAGCGUUGUCCGGAUUUAUUGGGCGUAAAGAGCUCGUAGGCGGCUUGUCGCGUCGUCCGUGAAAACUUGGGGCUCAACCCCAAGCUUGCGGUCGAUACGGGCAGGCUCGAAUUCGGUAGGGGAGACUGGAAUUCCUGGUGUAGCGGUGAAAUGCGCAGAUAUCAGGAGGAACACCGGUGGCGAAGGCGGGUCUCUGGGCCGAUACUGACGCUGAGGAGCGAAAGCGUGGGGAGCGAACAGG